rnacentral:piRNA from 1 species
UGCUUUAACGCUUGAUCAAGCACACAC